rnacentral:rRNA from 1 species
AAUAGAUACCCUGGUAGUCCACGCCGUAAACGAUGAGUGCUAAGUGUUAGAGGGGUUUCCGCCCUUUAGUGCUGCAGCAAACGCAUUAAGCACUCCGCCUGGGGGAGUACGGCCGCAAGGCUGAAACUCAAAGGAAUUGACGGGGGGCCCGCACAAGCGGUGGAGCAUGUGGUUUAAUUCGAAGCAACGCGAAGAACCUUACCAGGUCUUGACAUCUCCUGACAAUCCUAGAGAUAGGACGUUCCCCUUCGGGGGGUACAGGAUGACAGGUGGUGCAUGGUUGUCGUCAGCUCGUGUCGUGAGAUGUUGGGUUAAGUCCCGCAACGAGCGCAACCCUUGAUCUUAGUUGCCAGCAUUCAGUUGGGGCACUCUAAGGUGACUGCCGGUGACAAACUGGAGGAAGGUGGGGAUGACGUCAAAUCAUCAUGCCCCUUAUGACCUGGGGCUACACACGUGCUACAAUGGAUGGUACAAAGGGCAGCAAAACCGGCGAGGUCGAGCCAAUCCCAUAAAACCCAUUCUCAGUUCGGAUUGGU